UCUCAGGAAGAUGAAGGUAACCUGCCUCUCGAUGAAUCUUCCCCGGGUGUGGCUGCGGUGGACAGACGAUGAACCGCGGCAGGGAGGGUCUGAAGGUUUUCCGCUGUUGACUGCAGCAGCUGAUCGUGCUGGCUCGUCGUUGCACCCUGCCUGGCCAGAGCUGCGGAUACCUGACUGACCUCCAAACACAAAGGAAAAGAACCUGAAGCAAAACCUCCUCAGCCUCCGAUCAAUGGAGCUCAACAGUGUGAAGGCCAGAGUACCUCAGCUACAAAGAACACCUGAAUAUUCACCUUCAGCGAGUCAAGGCUAACCGAUUCAUACACAUUGUGUAUCUUGGAUUGGGCAUUUGUGACUUCUGCUUAAGGAUAAGUGACAGGCCCUAGCACACAGCUGUUGUUAGACAUUUUCAGCAUUUUCCCGGGCAAGAAGUACACCGACAAGAUGAUGACAGCACAGUACAGGAAAUCCCUCCGAAUACCACAUGUGGAGUUCUGCAGUGUUUAAGCUCACAACAUGAGGGGGUGGUCAGCAGGAACGGAAGGCGUCCCAGAGUUAAGUGGAGCAGGUGGACAGCUUCCUGAAAGAAGAACUCACGAAUCCAAGCAACUAUUUGAAGCCCAGCAAUACUUCUUAACAAUAGAAUAUUUCAUGUUUGAGCGCCAGCUCAAACAACAUGGAAGCCAAGCAUCGCAUUUAAGAAAGACGUUCCUGUCCUCUGACGAGCCCUCACACGUGCUCUCACACAUUACUGCAGCAGCCAGCGAAACCGGAACAGGAACUGGACCUUCUAAAUUGGGGUGAAAAAGAGAGAAAGAGAAUGUCAUCCUAGAUCUGAUAUCGAAGCCAUUUAUAGUCUAUUCUUUCCUUCUUUCUUGCUCACUUUUUAUAGCCUGGUAUGAGAAUGAGUGAACAGCAGGACUGCGCUUUAUAUUUUAUCAUAAUAUGAAUGGUGGCGUAACGUUACCGGCUGAAAAUGACGCAUGAGCCGUAAAGCCCUAUCACUGCACGCGCCUCCCAAGAAAUAAAUGAAUCCUGAACUAUUUAAUCAUGUAAAGAAAAAUUAAUUCCAUGCUUGAGUCAUCAUUUGAGCUGUGCGAUCAUUCUUAUUAGCGCAUCAGAAACUCAUUUAAUCACGUGACUCCCUCUGAAAUGAAACUAGAUUCAGUUUAAUUAAAUUCAUCCUUUUCUCGUCCAGGUAUAUUGAUGUGCUUCCAUUUACCUUUUCCCCCACUGAUUGACAGUUAGUGCGUUUGCGCAUUUUCGCUUUUUUAAAACGAUCUGAGGAAGAGGCCGCGCAGAGCUGCCCCAGUCUCAGUGUGAGAAUGUGUUGCAAGUUGAUUUUGUGCUGCUGUUUUUCAGUAGUGAAAAAGCUUCCUCUGCAGGGCUCCCAUCUGUCUGUUCAGGAAUAGCAGACAAUGGGUUUCCAACCAAAAGUGCUGACAAAAACACACACAUCAUUGAACAGCUUGCUGACAUUUGAAUAGUUUUUUCUCUCUCCAAAUUUACUGCCAUAUCACAAUUACUCAUAAAUUAAAUAAAAAAUAAAGUAUUUGAAAAGCAGCAUUUUCUCAUUGAUCUGGACCACCUGGUAUACUGUACAACAUGACAUAAACGUCAAUUACACUUAAGUACACUAGAGUAUACUUUAGGUGUACUUCAGCAUACCAUUUUUUCACUUGGGGUAUAUUUAUGGCACAGAAAUUUUAUUUAUUAGAUUUCACUUAUCGAACCUUUUUCACAUUAGGGUAGGUCAAGUUAUACGCAAGGAUUUCACGUUUUCUACUUUAAGGGGAAUUUAUUCAAAUGAGGGAGUUUACAAAAUAAAUGAACUCUAAUGAGGCUAAUGCAGUUAAAAUUUAGUUGGUGGAUCCGUAUUGACCUCAUUUAUUUUUUCAGCGCUGAUUUGAGGUUUGAUGAUGCUAUUUUUGGUUGA